AUUGAACGCUGGCGGCAGGCCUAACACAUGCAAGUCGAGCGGAGCGGCAGACGGGUGAGUAAUGCCUAGGAAUCUGCCUGGUAGUGGGGGAUAACGUCCGGUAACGGGCGCUAAUACCGCAUACUCUCAGAAGAGCCUAGGUCGGAUUAGCUAGUUGGUGGGGUAAAGGCAUACCAAGGCGACGAUCCGUAACUGGUCUGAGAGGAUGAUCAGUCACACUGGAACUGAGACACGGUCCAGACUCCUACGGGAGGCAGCAGUGGGGAAUAUUGGACAAUGGGCGAAAGCCUGAUCCAGCCAUGCCGCGUGUGUGAAGAAGGUCUUCGGAUUGUAAAGCACUUUAAGUUGGGAGGCGUUACCAACAGAAUAAGCACCGGCUAACUUCGUGCCAGCAGCCGCGGUAAUUC
rnacentral:rRNA from 1 species